UCUCCCACUUCCCUUUGUUUGUUAGAUCAAGCGGUAUUAAUCUCUGAGUCCUCCAACCCUAGCUCUGCCUCUGGCAGGUGGUAAGCGUUCAGUAAAGUCAGCGUUGAUUUAAUAGAUGAAUUGCUUAAUGGUGAACGAAGCCACUGCCACGAAUGGAGAGACAGGAUGAUUUGCCUCUCUGGGCUUGGGGACUGAUGUGUGAUCCGGUUUUAUUUGGGUCUUAGAGUACACUCCAGGCAUGCUCCAAGACCCUGUCCCGACUUCGGGCUUGUUAACUGGGCGACACUGAGCACCAAGUAGGUGCGAUCCCUGCCUUAGGACAGACACUGGCCCCCAAGGAGCGCCAGCCUGGAGGAGACGCAGCAUCCAUGGUGGAGGCAGAGGAGCAAAAUGCCCUUGGGUUCGAAUGGGCAGUUGAGGCUUCUCUGCGGAGGGCCUGUGUCUGCGUAAUGGGAUUUUUACAAGGAGACAUGGGAGAGAGAAGACUCCAGAGAUACACGGUCUUGCAGCCUCACUGGUGGUUUAGGUUGUGGGCUUUGGAGCCAGACAGUUCGAUUUCAAAUCCCUACUCACAACUAUUAGAUGUGUGAUCAUAUUCAAUUAACAUUGUUAGCCUAUUUGCCAGUAAACCUCAAUAGAGUUGCUGUGAGGAUUAGAAGAGGUAGUUUGGCUAAGGUGCUUGGGACAGUGCCUGGCACACGUUCAUGCGUGUUUAUACUUAACCCACAUCUUUGCAGUGUCAGUGCUGUGUAGAGCCUCCCACAGGGCAGGUGAUUUGGUUACAUGAAGGCUCUUAGCAGGAAACCCCUAAGGGAAGCAAGGGAAUGUGGCAACUGGAAAUAGAACCAGUUUAUAAUCUUCCUUCCACAUCCCUCAACUCCCAUUCCCAAACAUUUAUUGCCGGCCCAAUGGGUUCCAUCCAUUUCUACCCCUGCCAUUCCAUUCUCCCCUUCCCCCAGGCCCCUCCUCCCUGGAACUGCCCCGUAUCUGUCCCAACAGCCCCCUUGCCCAUUCCCCACUUUAUUCCCUCCCCUCCCUGACACCCUGGGCAAUGCUAUGCUCCUCUGUCUGGGUUUUGCAUUCCUGCCACUUGCUCCACCUCAGGGGUAUUCAACACUGGCCACAAUUGCUGGGAAAAUGACAGCCUCGGCUUGGUCAGCUUCCACUGUUAGCCUCCCCAUCUCCCCUGACUUAGCUGCUCCCAUGUGGUGUGAUUUCUCUCACCAAGUGUUGUUUUCCUUUUCCCUGCAUGUGUUUGCACAGAAUGCCAUGAAUUUGAUAUAGUGAUUGCCUAACACAUAUACCACAUAAUAGUAUUUUAUUUCUUUCUGAAGCACUGUUUGCAUGACAAAUGAGUUGGUAACAUUUGUGCAACUCCUUGCAGCUGUGCGGUUCAAUAUAUAAAGAAUGAGCCUUUCGGCAUCAGUACUGGCCCCAUGUAUUCUAAGAGGGCUUGAAACUAAUGCUUAAACAAAGUUAUCGUUACAGCAUUUCACAGAGUUAUGGUCUAUUUUAUAACAAUGGAUCUCAGGGCGAUUUAAAAAUAUGGACUGAACUGGAGCCACCCCCAGUGGUGGCACGCAAUGUGGGCUUUGUCAGCUUCCUUGUGUUUGGGGACACUGCUGCCGCUCCACACACGUAGGGUCAAGUGGCCCACAGCCCCUCCCCCAGAACCCUGUUGUCUUCCCUGUGGUGUAGAACCCACUGUGCUUGGAGUUGUGGCCUUUGGCCACCCAUGGUCAGCCCUUUUACCUCCAUUGUGGCUUCUGGCUGUGGAUGGCCUUGUCUUGCAGGAUCUUACAGGCAGGCCUUUGGAUGUGCACCAAGGGGCACCCAGUGACCACUUAACUGCAAAUUUGCUGAUCAAUGCUCCCCUUCCCCACCCCCUCUGAGAAGGAACCUCACAAGUUAGUCAGGCGUUCCUCCCAGUUUUUGGGCCUUUCCAUUUCAUCCUGAAUUCCCAGCUCCAGUCACGUUCCUGCCCAGAUUUAUAGCCCCUCUUUGGUUUAGUGAAGUUGGCGUGUUGCUUUUUGCUUUCCUCCACACAACCAUCCACAUGCUGCCCUCCACUUGGAAGGGCUCGACCUCAGCUCUUCUUUGCCACUGCUGCCCCUUCGGGAGCUACCCACGAAACCUGCCAGGGCUUCUGGCAGCCAGCCUUUCUGUGCCUUCAGCCUGGCUCUCCUGCUGGGCCUGUCCAUGGCAGGAAGGCUUAUUGUAAAGAAAAGGGCAAUAUUGCAAAGUCAGAGGCUGCUCUGCAUGCCCUCCUUUCUCAUCACUUUGCUGUGGGUUUUUUUUUUAAGGUGAGCAGCAGCUUAGGCUGUGGUCAGUCUUCCUGAUGUAUUAAAGGCAGAAGAGGAAAAACAAGCUCCAAUAUCUAAAUCUACUUAGUAACCACAUCCACACAUUUAUCAGAGGUGAAGGGCUGCUCUGAGCACGCUCUGGAUUCCCGGGGGGCUGCCAUACUCCCUUCCGUCCCGUUGACCUCUCUCUGUCUUGGCAGAGCCUUAUAAUAAUCACAGCCAUAAAUCUUUUAGUGGGUUCCAUUCUCUUCGUCCUCCUGCAAAAAGCCCUGCACACAUUUAUCAGGUCCUCAAAGAUACUCAGGGACCACGGAAUCGUCCUUGAUCCACCUCAUGGAGGGCCUCACGUAUUGCCUCAGCUAUUCAGGGCUUCCUUCAAACUACAUUAUAGGUGGCAUUACAGUGGGGGCAGGGCACCGGGAGAUUGUGGUUGAAAAGUGGGGGCCAUGUGGGGCUCAUAUUUUGACUGGAAUGACCCAGGAACACCCAGCUUCUCACUGCUCCAUCUCAGUGCCUUAUGGAAGAGGAGGACACUCUUUUCCUCUCUCUAGGUCUGAGGGUGCAUCAGCUAAGGGGGAAAAUGGAGUCACAGAGAAAUGCCAGAAUGGUAUUUCAUAAUCUGUUGAAAAUUAAACAAAUCUCUCACUCUUUUGACUGCUCUCACACUUUGAUAUCCAUGAGUAAGAGUUCCUUCAAAGGCAUGGAAUAUAUUACCGAAUGUCAAUAACAAAUUGUGUAUGAAGAAAAAUGUAAUGCUUUGAGAAUAUUUUCUUUUGGGCUUUGUCCAUGAUUAGAUUACACUAAAUUACAGCAUACAGAUAUCAGGCAAUUACUCUUUGCUUUUAACUAUUCAAUUUCAUGGCAAAUCCACAUAGCGCAGUAAUGCUAAAAUCACACCGAUGUGGUUACCAAGAAAAUACCUCAUCAUCUCCAUUUUGUGAAGCUAGGUUCAAGUUGCACUGUAAUGACCUGUAGUCCUGUUAAGUGUAAAGUACAUUCCAGAUGAACAUGGGGUAAUCCGUACCUCUCUGUAAUUGCCAGAUAUCUGGAGAGAUUCUUGCAGAUGUUGCUGGAUAAGCCUGGGUGAGAUGUGAAGAGGAAUGGCAUCUUUGCUCUCCUGGUUACUCUGGCUACCCUCCCUGUCUCUGAUCCUGGUUGGUCUCUGGUCCUACUCAUUCUAUUGCUUUAACCAGGAGCAUGUCUCCUUUUCUUCUGUUUUGUGAAAACAUAGUCAUUUUCUCUUCACUCAGCUCACAGAAUCCUCCCCAACCUCCUCCCAAUUUUAAUUUCUUCCAAAGCUGUGGAUAUCCCAUAAGCAAUCAAGUCGGCUGUCCUGGAAACUGGAGGAGCUUGUUGGUGAAAAAAGAAUUAUUUGAGCCAAUUGUGAGAAAUCGAACAGUGGCAGGAGGAGGAAAACGAGAGAAGAAAGGAGCCGACACAUCUAAACAAGCAGCCAGGGCACUGUGCAUACAGAUGUAAGGUCUUCUGGGGUCAGCUGGACUCAUAAGGCAGGAGGGACCUCAUCUUUCAGAGAAGGAAUGCCUAGAUUAUCAACAGAACUGUGCCCCAAGACCCAGAGAGACCUCCCUGCCCCAGUGCCUAUUAGAAUGACAAAAGGGGUGGACCCAAGCCCAGAUGACCAGGGCUCUGCCUGGAAGUGCCAGGCCAGGACCCUGGGUCUGUAGAGCCUCUGCCAUUGCAAAGGAUGAGCCAGAUGGAAAAAUUCAGCAUGGAGCUGUAUCCCUGAGCCAAGAGGGCACCCCCUUCCCCGUUGGGGGAGCGAUGGCUUGGGAACAAGCCCCCCGCCCCGUGCUCCAGUGCAUCUAGCUGCCUUUGGCCACCAUCCUGAAACAGCAGGGAGCAGGCUUCCUCUUUCCUCACACCCUGGAACCCAGUGAUUGCUGACCAGGAAGCAGAACCUUCCAAGGCUGCAGGCUUGCAUCCUGCCUCUCAGCCAAGACCUGUCUCCUCAGUCAUCUGAAACCACCCUACCACGCCAGACGCUCCCUCUGCCUUCUUGCUAUUCCAGCUCUCUCUUCUUCCCACUUCCUAUUUUCUCUCCAUUUUGUUCAAACUCCAUGAACAAGAACAACAGAGCUCAGACAGCGAAAGCCUCCCCAUCCCAGCUGUAUGCAAAUUCCCAGCAGGCUGAAAGGACCACCCGCCCACCCAAGACCACCUCCCAGGAAGCCGAGGCCUUGUGUGCAGCCCCAGAGGAGCUUGAGCUGAACGGAGAAUGGGUUGAGGUGGGUGGGACCCAUCACUGUUCUUCCCUUCUCAUUCCUGCGCGUUCCCUGAAGAGUCUCUGGGGCCUGCUUUUCCCCCCAGCAGAGACGGAUGUGUCACAUUUAUGGCAUCCCAUUUCCUUCACAGAGAGGCUAUAGAUCCUGUUUCAUUCUGGUGUAUUUAAUUCACUCCAUAGGAAUCAAUAAAAACUUUAAAUUAAAAAAAAGGCAAAAUCCAA